UACGUAGGGGGCAAGCGUUAUCCGGAUUUACUGGGUGUAAAGGGAGCGUGGACGGCAUAGCAAGUCUGAAGUGAAAGCCCGUGGCUCAACCGCGGAACUGCUUUGGAAACUGUUAAGCUGGAGUACUGGAGAGGCAAGCGGAAUUCCUAGUGUAGCGGUGAAAUGCGUAGAUAUUAGGAGGAACACCAGUGGCGAAGGCGGCUUGCUGGACAGAGACUGACGUUGAGGCUCGAAAGCGUGGGGAGCAAACAGG
rnacentral:rRNA from 1 species